UAUUAAAUUGUAUUUAUUACUCUUUCCGUUCCUUCUUUUCUUCCAAGCUCAGCUUCUUAACCAAAAGAUACGCUCACUGCUCACAGCUACCAUUUUCAUUCCAGGAUUCAGCAACAAGUUUCAGCCACCGAGCUCUUUUUCAACAGAACAAACACCAUUCCAUAAUGCAAUAGUGCUGUCAUGCCAUGUUUCUAUAUAUAAGAUAGCAGGAAUACCUCUUCGGUCCUCUCAUGGCUCACUAGAUGCCCACCGUGGAGAUCAACCAAUCUAGCAAAAGGCUGCAACUUCUUUGCAAGCCUCCUCGCGUAAUAUAUUUGAGCAAUGAUAUCAUGCCUAGCCAAUCCGAGACCUCAAAUCAGUCAUAAGCAGACCCAACGUGCUCAUCAAGAUAUUCCUGCAGAUCAGAAAUAAACAUCAUGUGAGUUCCUGCAGUCACAAAACUGACUCGAGACACUAUCAGAGAGUAAACAUGCCAAGUUUGUCUUUGCACAUUCCAUUUGGUUUUUUUAAAGACGCUCCAUAUCUGGUGGGGAAGAUUUCUUUCCAUUUUCCAAAGUAGCUAUAAGCCUCUUUACAGAAUUUCUCCAGAGCUACCCAAAUUACUGGUCUGCUUCUCAUCAUUUACCUUUGUGUAGUGGGUGUCUAAGUCAACUGCAGCCCUUUGCUCAGGAGUUUUUGCCUUCAAGAAACGGAUAGCGACAGAUAUUGUUCGACUGUCAAGCUGCAAGAUACAAAAAAUUCAUCAUUUUUUAAUCAUAUGACUCGAAUUUUAAAAUAGAAAAGACAAUACCCUCGGGUGCUCAGAAAAGAAAAAUGCACUUUUAUGGCUGGUGACAACCAAAUAGCUUUAAAUGCGGGUGAGAGCUUACAAAACUAAUUGAUGUGAAGUGAAUUAUGAUAAGAGAGAUUCCCAGUGCACAUUAGCACGAGAAA